AGCCUGCCCAGUGAUAAAAUUCAACGGCCGCGGUAUCCUAACCGCGCGAAGGUAGCAUAAUCACUUGUUCUUUAAAUAGGGACUAGUAUCAAUGGCACCACGAGGGUUGCACUGUCUCCUCUCUCCAAUCAGUGAAACUGAUCUCCCCGUGAAGAAGCGGGGAUAAAAUAAUAAGACGAGAAGACCCCAUGGAGCUUUAAACCUCACAGCAACUCUGAUACAUAAUUCAUUAUAGCCAACAGAACUAUGCAGGCCGGUUUUAGGUUGGGGCGACCGCGGAGUAAAAAUUAACCUCCACUACGAAAAGAACUAAACCUUUAUCUAAGAGCCACUCCUCUAAGAAUUAGUAAACUAACGAAAAAUGACCCGAUUAUCGAUCAACGGACCAAGUUACCCUGGGGAUAACAGCGCAAUCUACUUCAAGAGCCCAUAUCGACAAGUAGGCUUACGACCUCGAUGUUGGAUCAGGGUAUCCCAGUGGUGCAGCCGCUACUA
rnacentral:rRNA from 1 species